AUGCUAUACUAGACAACGUUGCUAGAGCAACCCUUGGUGCUUAUUUCCCUUUCACCAAGCAUAUUAGACGCGGCAUGACCGCUAAAGGAGAAUU
rnacentral:ncRNA from 1 species